rnacentral:rRNA from 1 species
GCUUACAGCCAUACCACCCUGAAAAAGCCAGAUCUCGUCUGAUCUUGGAAGCAAUCCAGGGUAGGGCUUGGUCAGUACCUAGAUGGAAGACCGCUUGGGAAUACCAGGUGCUGUAACCC